CUUCCUGAUGUUGAGUCGGAAUUUCCUUUCCUAUAACUUGAAGCCAUUGGUUCAAGUCCAACCCUCCAGAGCUGGAGAAAACAAGCUUGCUCCCUCUUCCAUGUGACAGCUCUUGAGAUAUUUGAAGAUGGCUAUCAAAACUCCUCUCAGUCUCCUCUUUUCCAGGCUAAACAUACCCAGCUCCUUCAAC